UACGGGGGGAGCAAACGUUGUUCGGAAUCACUGGGCGUAAAGGGCGCGUAGGCGGCGUGACAAGUCACUUGUGAAAUCUCUGAGCUUAACUCAGAACGGCCAAGUGAAACUGUCGUGCUAGAGUGCAGAAGGGGCAAUCGGAAUUCUUGGUGUAGCGGUGAAAUGCGUAGAUAUCAAGAGGAACACCUGAGGUGAAGACGGGUUGCUGGGCUGACACUGACGCUGAUGCGCGAAAGCCAGGGGAGCAAACGGG
rnacentral:rRNA from 1 species